UACGAAGCUUGCUUCGAACAGCCAGCUUUGAUAAAAUAUCUAGGUUCGUUAAAUAUUCCCCUGUAGCUCAGUUGGUAGAGCGCCUCCCUGUAAUACAUAACUUGCAGCGCCUGAAAGCAAUUUUGGGUGGAAAAUCGGGUUAAUUGUCGGGAAGCCUGUUGACCGGAAGGUCAUGGUAAUCCGCAGCCAAGCCCUUCGGCAUGCUCAGGGUAAACCCCUGUGUUUGUUGAUCGGAAGGUUCAGAGACUAUACGCCUGACUCCUUUUUUGAAGAUAUUAAGCGAAGGAGAUGAGAUAGUCCAAGCCUCUUCGAAAGUUGAGG
rnacentral:ncRNA from 1 species